AUAUCCUGCAUUUAUUUAAGCAAACCGAAUGUGUAGAGAUAGGAAAUUAAAGCAUUAUAAUGUUUUACAAAUACAGAAAGAAAGACACAGAAUAAUAAUACCCUGGAGAGAGUGCAUCUGAGAACACGCUUCCAUCACAGGGAACAACUUUCAGUGACCACAUGGAAGCCACGGCCGACGCAUUCAUCUGUCGUUCUUGUUCUGACAUCAUUCAAGUCUUUUUCAUAGAUAAAUCAGUGAUCUGCUUUUAUACGACGGAUAGUGCUAGUGGUUAUGGUAGCCUUGAAGGGUUUGUGAGUAACUGUACUAUACAUACAUGAGGCUAGGCUUAACGUGUUAUUUCAAUGCUGCUGUCCAUCGCGGGAGGGAAAGAAUGUCUCAUUACACAAUUACUGUGACAUCCACUAAAAUGUGAACUAGUUGCAUAGGUUAGUCCUUUGGGCAGCACAAUGUUGCUCUAGUCCACCAAGGCUUAAAGAUUCACAGUGUAGAGGAAAAAAACAUGAAUUAAAGCAUUUCUACUAAAAUAUAUUUUAAUAGCUGGUGUUAACAAUUUGCAUAACAAAAGCCAAAUUAUAUUUAUAACAUUGCAUCGUUCUGUAAGCCCCUUCAUUUUAAAACCAUGAUGUGUUUCUUAACGCUCUCAUAGUUAGAACAAUCCUGCAAAUGAAUCAUCAAUCACAAGUCUACAUAUUUUGAAGCAAAGAGAGGCCAGUCUUCACAAUGAUCCAAUUUUGCAUUUUUACCGCAGGUCUAAGACCAACAGUUCCACACCCCUGGCCUGUGAUACACGCAGUGCUGCUUCUAAGUGCUCAGCCGUUCGUCAUAUGGACACAGAAGAAUGGGACCAUGAUGCAGUUCUCUCUUUUCCUUUCAAGAAAAUCAUCCUUAACAGCAGCUGCAUCACAGAGAAGUAUAUACUAUGCAAACUGGAUACCACAUAUCAAACACAAAAGCACAUGGAAUUCCUGUGACUAUACUGAAGUAACCCGGACGACUAGGGAGGAGACGGUGCCCUAGGGAUCCUUCCAGGCUUGUGGAUUCCACAGAAGCAUCACACAAUUGCCUUUGUGGUUUUCAUCACCACUAAUUGACAGUUGCCUGGAAAGAACCCUAAUGGGCACGGAAUACUUCGGAAAGAGACGUUCCUGUUAGCAUUCUUCACUUGGUUUACAGAGCUUCUUAUUAACUAAAGCUUUCUCACCUCCAUGCCACCCAAACAACCCACGCUAGCCAUUUUCAGAUGAUCAGAAGCAAAUAGCUAUGGUAUAAUGGAUUUUUGAAGUGAACUUCAUCUUGGGUCACGAAUUCAGCCUUAUAACAUAAUUCUUCUAUCUUAUAAUAGGUGUUUUAAAUCUCAGACCUAAGGUUAACGUUUAUGCAGCUCAACAAUAUAUAAAUCCACAGAGAGCCUUUCAGAAAUAAAUGGAAGAAGUCAGUAUUUUCUAAAGUUCCAAAGCUUUAGAGGUAAAAUAUAAUCAGCUAUCACCUUUCAUAUCUGUCAGGAAUAUCUCAUCUGUCCCCACCAUAAAAAUACUGAUCACAUAAUAAAAUAGUACUACAGAGUAGGCAGAUGCUUGCGUGCUUGGUUUUCUUCCCAAGACCAUAUUGGAGAGACAAGGGUGAUCAAAAAGGCACCUAUAUUUUUUAUAUCUCUAUAUUAUAAUUUUGGUAUAAACUAUAUCCACUUUAUAUAGGGGAAGUUACUAAAGGAUCUCACAUUUUCUUUAUCUUUUCAUUAAAAACCUUCCACUGGAGAUGGGCAAAUCUGAAAAAGAGAUGCGGCCUCUUGCACUUCCACUGUCUGCCUUAGAAAAGUCUGCUUUUCCCAGAUCCCAGAGUGUUGUCUAGCUCCACACGGAGAGGCCAGCGAAAGCAAGACUGGCAAAACUGGCAGUCCUCGGACCAUGAACCUAGUGGCAAGAGAGGGGCUGCUCUAGUCGCAUCCGUGUUCCAACAAGGGGCUCCUGGGAAUUGUGCUUGCAAAUUCCUGUGUGGUCUCGGGUUGGGGUCGGGGUGGGGGAGGCCUGAGAAGAUCCAGGGACAGCGCAGAGAUCUGACAACCAGACAAAUAUUUCAACAUGGGCUACGCUGCGGAUGUGUCAACAAGAACAAGAAGACAUGAAGAGUUCGUCUUGCCACAGGUUAGAAAUAGAAAGCUUUCUUAGAGAACGAGAAUAAGUAAAAAGUUUACUACAAAACCUUACACCAAGAGCAAUAUAUUCUGUUGCUAUGCUCUUCUCAAGAGAGAGAUGAUCCAUGUACAGUUGUUUUUGGAAGCUUUCAGAAGCAUAUCAAGCUGCCUUUGUGCUUGUGUCAGGCUUGAGGACACAUCACAUUCGGAAAAUCAGGUGCCUGCGCCCUGUGCUUGGGCGUUACCUUGAUUUUUGAAAGAUUUGUUGUUUUAAACCCUUCUUGAGUUGUCAGUUUUCCUUUAAGCUUCCUGUAAAUGUGCUGUUUAUCAAAAAAUGUACCUGUCCUACCUUUAGUCUGCAAAUUAAUCAACUACUCUUUUAUAUAAUCACAAAGAAAGUGUGGUCUAUCUGGGUGAAUCGUAAAUAUUUAUUUAAUGGUGUAAUAAAAUGAAUAAGCAAGCUUAUUGCCCUCAAUUUUAACGCACAGAAAUUUCUGCAAGAAUAUUGCAAGUUCUGCUUGUCUUUGUAGGUUUGUGUAUAAGACACCAAAACAGACGUGGAGUUUAAUCAACUGAAUCACAACUAGUCAUUUCAAUGAUAGAAAAUCAGCCAAGCUGGUUAUGUGGUAAUCGUAAAAGCCCCUCAAAAAUAUCUCUAGUUAUGUGCCUGGAUUUUUCUCCUUUCAAUUUUAUGUCCAUGUCAUGUAGAUGCAGCGUGAGUAUAAUAAAACUUUUUAAUUACUCUUUUAGCCUGAUAAAAAUGAGAUUACAGAUUUUCCAAAGUAUGUGUUUACUUUUCCAAGGCGUAAAUGAAUUAACGUUUGUUUGCCUUUGGCCUAAUAAACAUUUCAUUCAAAGAUAUUUUAUGGGAUAUUUUGUUCAUUUCUUUGACUAUAUCCUAUAAGGCAGAUAUCCCCAAGACCCAUACAGUUGAUUGCAUUUUUGUAACUUUGCUUUUUCAGUUUCAUCACCACGCUAGAGUCAGGCCUUACAUGAACGCUACCCUGUUGCAAGUCCCCCAAAGUGGCACAAUCAGAAAAACACAGAGUUGCUGAUGGGCGUUAAUCUCUCCAGUGACCUGUGGACUCCAGGUAAAACUUCAUGACAUGAUGGUCAUGGCUGUGAAUCCAGCAAGAGCCUGCAAAGCCACUCAUUCAAAAAUCAAAAUGUGACCAUUUCUUUUCUAAUGAACAGCCUGGUAAGUCCUGUACCGAAAAUCUCUGGUCACACUCCCCUCUCACUCCCUGAAUGUGAUUUAGAAAAUGGAAAGGAAGUCUUUUCAUUAACUGGUUUCAGGGGCGAGAUUUCCAUUCCAGGAUCCUGAGUACGAUUUUCUACAAAAAGAAACCAGAUCAUCUGUCUCUCGGUACGGAGCUGGUCCUUUGUGGUCUCUGAUUUCCUCCAGCACAAUUCCUAUUCCAACUCUU
rnacentral:lncRNA from 1 species